GACGUAGGGGGCGAGCGUUGUCCGGAUUUAUUGGGCGUAAAGCGUGCGUAGGCGGCUGCGCAAGUCGGGUGUGAAACCCCGGGGCUCAACCCCGGAACUGCAUCCGAUACUGCGUGGCUAGAGGUAGGUAGGGGAGAUCGGAAUUCCUGGUGUAGCGGUGAAAUGCGCAGAUAUCAGGAGGAACACCGGUGGCGAAGGCGGAUCUCUGGGCCUUACCUGACGCUGAGGAGCGAAAGCGUGGGGAGCGAACAGG
rnacentral:rRNA from 1 species